UAACAAGGAUUCCCCUAGUAACUGCGAGUGAAGCGGGAAAAGCUCAAAUUUAAAAUCUGUCAGCCUUUGGCUGUCCGAGUUGUAAUCUAGAGAAGUGUUAUCCGCGCUGGACCGUGUACAAGUCUCCUGGAAUGGAGCGUCAUAGAGGGUGAGAAUCCCGUCUUUGACACGGACUGCCAGGGCUUUGUGAUGCGCUCUCAAAGAGUCGAGUUGUUUGGGAAUGCAGCUCAAAAUGGGUGGUAAAUUCCAUCUAAAGCUAAAUAUUGGCGAGAGACCGAUAGCGAACAAGUACCGUGAGGGAAAGAUGAAAAGAACUUUGGAAAGAGAGUUAAACAGUACGUGAAAUUGCUGAAAGGGAAACGCUUGAAGUCAGUCGCGUUGUCCAGGGAUCAACCUUGCUUUUGCUUGGUGUACUUUCUGGUUAACGGGUCAGCAUCAAUUUUGACUGUUGGAAAAAGAUCAGGGGAAUGUGGCAUCUUCGGAUGUGUUAUAGCCCUUGGUUGCAUACAAUGGUUGGGAUUGAGGAACUCAGCACGCCGCAAGGCCGGGUUUUAACCACGUACGUGCUUAGGAUGCUGGCAUAAUGGCUUUAAUCGACCCGUCUUGAAACACGGACCAAGGAGUCUAACAUGCCUGCGAGUGUUUGGGUGGAAAACCCGAGCGCGUAAUGAAAGUGAAAGUUGAGAUCCUUGUCAUGGGGAGCAUCGACGCCCGGACCAGACCUUUUGUGACGGUUCCGCGGUAGAGCAUGUAUGUUGGGACCCGAAAGAUGGUGAACUAUGCCUGAAUAGGGUGAAGCCAGAGGAAACUCUGGUGGAGGCUCGUAGCGAUUCUGACGUGCAAAUCGAUCGUCAAAUUUGGGUAUAGGGGCGAAAGACUAAUC
rnacentral:rRNA from 1 species